AUCCAGCAGACGAGUCCCAAAUAGGACGAAACACAUGUACUGUAU
rnacentral:hammerhead_ribozyme from 1 species